CUGGCCCUGCUCCCUCCGAGCGCUCCGCCGUUGCCCGCCUGGCCCCUACGGAGUCCUUAGCCAGGAUGGAGGCUGUUGUGAACUUGUACCAAGAGAUGAUGAAGCACGCAGAUCCCCGGAUCCAGGGCUACCCUCUGAUGGGGUCCCCUUUGCUAAUGACCUCCAUCCUCCUGACCUACGUGUACUUCGUUCUCUCACUUGGGCCUCGCAUCAUGGCUAAUCGGAAGCCCUUCCAGCUCCGUGGCUUCAUGAUUGUCUACAACUUCUCACUGGUGGCACUCUCCCUCUACAUUGUCUAUGAGGUGGGCCCCUGGGAUGCCAGGCUUUAAUUUCUGUCAGCAGGAUAAGGAGCAGGCCAUAGAGCCAGAGCAUGGCAUUUCUCCUUUCCAGAGAGGUUCAGAUCCAUGUCCUCAGCUAGCGAAGGGGAGGGAUGGCUGGGAAGGGAGAACUCUGGUGGUCUAAUCCACAUCCCUUCCUAGUUCCUGAUGUCGGGCUGGCUGAGCACCUAUACCUGGCGCUGUGACCCUGUGGACUAUUCCAACAGCCCUGAGGCACUUAGGAUGGUUCGGGUGGCCUGGCUCUUCCUCUUCUCCAAGUUCAUUGAGCUGAUGGACACAGUGAGUAGUUAUAUGAGAUGUGAGAACUUGGGGGGAGAAUGAGGUGGAGAAGCCCAGGUUCUGAAUCCCCUUCCCUCACUCUUCUCUCAGGUGAUCUUUAUUCUCCGAAAGAAAGAUGGGCAGGUGACCUUCCUACAUGUCUUCCAUCACUCUGUGCUUCCC
rnacentral:sRNA from 1 species